GGGUCCGUGGGCUAGCUUGGUUAUACUUGGUGGUUCGGGACCAUCAGACCCCGGUUCAAAUCCGGGCGGACCCA
rnacentral:tRNA from 1 species